rnacentral:misc_RNA from 1 species
UCUCGGCUUAUCACCGGCAGUCCCUCUAGAGUGCCCAACUGAAUGAUGGCAACUAGAGGCGAGGGUUGCGCUCGUUGCGGGACUUAACCCAACAUCUCACGACACGAGCUGACGACAACCAUGCACCACCUGUAAACCGGCCACAAGUGGUUGACACAUCUCUGCAUCAUUCCGGUUCAUGUCAAGUCUUGGUAAGGUUCUUCGCGUUGCAUCGAAUUAAUCCGCAUGCUCCGCCGCUUGUGCGGGCCCCCGUCAAUUCCUUUGAGUUUUAGCCUUGCGGCCGUACUCCCCAGGCGGGGUGCUUAAUGCGUUAGCUUCGGCACAGAGCGGGUCAAACGCCGCCCCACACCUAGCACCCAACGUUUACGGCUAGGACUAC